GAGUCCCUACGGGGCGCAGCAGUGAGGAAUAUUGGUCAAUGGGAGAGAUCCUGAACCAGCCAAGCCGCGUGAGGGGAGACGGCCUUAUGGGUUGUAAACCUCUUUUGUCGGAGAACAAAACCCGGGACGUGUCCCGGACUGCGUGUAUCCGAAGAAAAAGCAUCGGCUAACUCCGUGCCAGCAGCCGCGGUAAUACGGAGGAUGCGAGCGUUAUCCGGAUUUAUUGGGUUUAAAGGGUGCGUAGGCGGCCUGUUAAGUCAGCGGUAAAAUUGCGGGGCUCAACCCCGUCGAGCCGUUGAAACUGG
rnacentral:rRNA from 1 species